AUGCCUCUUUGGCUUGGUAUCCAGAGAAAGCUAACCGCUAAAUCCAAUCGAGUUAAGAGUGUGGAUUUACAUCCUAUAGAACCAUGAAUGUUAGCAAGUUUUCACAGUCAUAGUGUACGUAUUUCAAAUCAUGAAACACAGGCACUGGUGAAGACAUUUGAAGUACGCGAUCUUCCAGUUCGAGCUGCAAAAUUUGUUGCAUGGAAGAACUGGGUUAUGACAGGAGCAGAUGACAUGCAGAUCAGAGUGUUCAAUUACAAUACUCUGGAAAGAGUUCCUAUGUUUGAAGCACACUCUGACUGCAUUCACUGUGUAGCUGUUCAUCCAACCCAGCCUUUCAUUCUAAGCAGCAGAGAUGACAGGCUUAUGAAGCUCUGGGACUGGGAUAAAAAAUGGCCUUGUUCACAAGUAUUUGAAGGACACACCCAUUGUGUUAUGCAGAUGGUGAUCAAUCCAAAAGAUAACAAUCAGUUUGCCAGUGCAUCUUGAGACAGCACCAUCAAGGUGUGGCAGCUGAGCUCUUCAUCACCAAACUUCACUCUGGAGGGACACGAGAAAGGUGUGAAUUGCAUUGAUUACUACAGUGGUGGUGACAAAUCAUACCUUAUUUCAGGUGCAGAUGACCAACUUGAUAAAAUAUGGGAUUACCAGAAUAAAACAUAUGUACAGAUGCCGGAGGGCCACGCCCAGAAUGUGUCCUGUGCUAGCUUUCAUCCUGAAUUGCCAAUCACUCUCACAGGUUCAGAAGAUGGAACAGUAUGUAUUUGGCAUUCAAGUACCUACUGGCUUUAAAGCUCAUUGAAUUAUGGAAUGCAGAGGGUGUGGUGUGCAGCCAGUCUAAGAGGGUCCAACAAUGUCGUUCUGGGCUAUGAUAAAGGGAGCAUCCUUGUUAAGCUUGGGCAGGAGGAACCCACCACAUCCAUGGAUGCCAGUGGAAAGAUAAUUUGGGCCAAGCACUCAGAAGUCCAGCAGGCCAACCUAAAGGCGAUGGGAGAUGCUGAAAUUAAGGGUGGAGAAACAUUGCUACUGGCAGUAAAGGAUAUGGGCAGUUGUGAAAUAUGCCCUCAGACUAUUCAGCACAAUCCUAACGGGCAGUUCACUGUGGCAUGUGGUGACGGGGAGGAUAUCAUCUACACAGCAACGGACAGCCCUGGGAAGCAGGAGCUCUGCUCUGCCCAGGAGUUCGUGUGGGCCCACGAUUCCAAGGUCAGUGGCUGGCUCAGCACACCUGGGGCUGGGGCCAGCGUAACAUGUGGUGCCCGGUAA